rnacentral:rRNA from 1 species
UACGGGGGGGGCAAGCGUUGUUCGGAAUUACUGGGCGUAAAGGGCUCGUAGGCGGCCAACUAAGUCGGAUGUGAAAUCCCCAAGCUUAACUUGGGAACUGCAUCCGAUACUGGAUGGCUUGAAUCCGGGAGAGGGAUGCAGAAUUCCAGGUGUAGCGGUGAAAUGCGUAGAUAUCUGGAGGAACACCGGUGGCGAAGGCGGCAUCCUGGACCGGUAUUGACACUGAGGCGCGAAAGCCAGGGGAGCAAACGGG